UGUUAUUUAUUUAUUUAAAAAAAAUAUACAUCAGUAUUACCUCAGUAUCUUAUCUAUACCUGCCUAUACCAGCUACGCUUAUGGUUGAUAUUUUUUAAGAAAGUAAGUAUGACAAGGUAUGAAAUGUUUAUCAGUUUGUAGUAAUAUUUUCGAGUAUUCAAUAAAGAGGACGGGAAUGGGGAUGCGAAUAACCCACCCGUGGUUGUGUUACGUAUAAUAAUAUUAAUUAUAGCUAUAUGGACGCAAUUUAUUUUUAUGUUACCAGACUUCAACUAUUUCUUUUCUGAGUCAAGCAAUACAGUAAGUUGUGGUUUAGUAUUAUAUUUCAUUUUCAUUUAUGUUUGGUUAUAAUAUAAGAAAUUGAAUUUUUUCGGAGGGAUGUCAACUGGAACUCCACAAAUCGCGAUUGUACGAUUUAAUCUUUAAAGAAAAACAUAACAUUUGCCCAAUAUCAUUCAUCUAAACACCUUUUGAGCUAUUUUUCCUCGACUGCGUUUUCAGACACUCUGAAGUGACCAUAUUAUGAUGAUUCAUAUAAGCUUUUUUUUUAUUUCAGAGCAAGUUAUGAGCAUGUAAAAAUUGUAAAUGUUUAUAGUACCUACAUUUUAAAAUGAUCACGAUAAAGUCGUAAUUAAUAACUUCCUCUUCACCAAUACUAUUGCUCCAAUGCGAUGACCAAAAAUCAGAGUAAUUAAAUAACGGUUGUAAUUUUUCAAAUUUCGAACAAUCAUUGUUUCGCAUAUCAUUACGUACAGGUAAUAUGAUGUCAAAAGGUGCAUGUCGAAGAGUGCAGCGGCCCAGGGCGAAGGCCACGAUUGCACCCCUACCAUAGGCCCCGUGUAUUUCGACUCGAACUUGUGUAUGACUGCUACAGAAGAACACUACGACGACGACCUGCACAACUGCUGCAACAAGGACGACGACAGCGACGGCGAUGACUACGACAUAACUCCUAGCCAACGUUAAUCCUCCGACAAAGACCCGUCACGGACAGUGGCGUACCGGUGAUGGCGUUUGAACUUUGGCUCCCCUUUCUCGUGCGUUAGCCCUUUGAUCACGUCUACAACAUGUUCUACAUCGCAGGUACACUGCAGUGGGACUCGUCAACCAUCGUGUUCGUCGUCGUAAUGCAUGGUACACCCAUCCUGCAGCCAUUAUUAGGUAAGUCUAUAAUAUAUUCCCCGUCUGAACCUUGAAAAGUAUAAAUGAUGUUAAAUACUUUAUGGAAGAGACCAAUCCACUUUUAUAAUAACAUGAGAUUCUCUAAUUUUUAAAAAUCACAAAAAACAUUUAAAUAAUUUUAGUUUGAUUUCAAGUCAGUAAUGUUUUAAUUAUUGAAAAAAUGCAGUCAUAUUAUAGAUUUACAGUUAUGCUAACAAAAUAAAUGAUGUACAAAAUUUCAAUGAUGAGCGAAUUUAUUUUACAGAAAACAUAUUACGAUUUACGAGACCUACCUAUACGUUUUAUACCUAUUCUCUGCAGUUGUUUUCUCGACGUUGUGUUUAAAAAUUAAACUACAAUGUGUAAAAUGCAUAUUGUCAUAAAGUUAAUUUUAAUGAUAUAGCAUGCAUGUUCAUUGCUCACACGUACCACUGUAAUAAAUUAAGUUAAAUUUAAUAAAUAACAGCCAUUUGACAUGGCAACAUCAUACAAACAGUCAUCCCUAAAAUAGGUAUAGCACUGACGACAACGGAUCUGUCAGUCAAUUCAUAUUCAUAAUAGCUCGUCGCCUUUCCCUGUGGAGUGUGAUUCCGGGAGUAUUACCUUUUUUGGAUAAGACUUAGAGCAAUGCCGAAAUUACAAAGAACAUGAUUUUGAAUCUUUUAAGAUGUACGACUGUUCUCAAAAUUCGAAACGAUGUUGCCGAAUUUUUGAUGACAAAUUUCAGUUGUUUUACAAUUAUUUUUAAAUUUUA